AAAACAGAAUACUUAUUAAGUUAUAUCAUUUUUUUUCAGGUGUUUCCUUCAGUUUGGUAUAUUUUAUAAUUAUAUUUUUCAUUGGCUCUUACAGUUUUUUCUUGUGUAUGUUAGUUGAUUAUUAUAUUCCAGUUAUAAACAUUUCAAAAUUAUGACAAAUGCAAAAUUUUGAAAUGGUACAUAAAAACUAUUCAAAACUGCUCAAUCUUGACAACAGUAACCUAUAUACUUUCAAUACCAUUUGUCUUAAGUUACUUUAACUGCAUUAGCUAUAUUGAUAUGAAAAUAGCUGGCAAAUUAUUAAGACAUUUCGCACAAAUUAAAUUUGAAAAAUACUGUAAAUGCAAAGGCAUUGAUAAUGUAAAACUUUUAUGAUAUAUAAUCACAUCAAAUUUUACUACGGUUAUUUCAUCAAACUGUUUAAAAUGUGGUCAGAAUAUAUUUUAUGGGUUAUUAGUCUACAAGUAACUCUUCAACCUUCAAGAAUAAACAAAAAUUAUUUGGUAAGUUGAAUAAUGUAGAAAACACCAUCAAUCAAACUUAACUCAUCAAUCGGCAUCAUCAUCUUUAUAUGAAAUUGUUUAAGGCUUCACCUCAAACUUUGCAGAUAUGAUUAUAGUAAUGACUU